rnacentral:ncRNA from 1 species
AACGCGGAAACACUAGUAAUUGCUUUUGUAAAGGAAGUGGUUAGAGCACACUAGUUAAGAUAGCACCAGUGUUGCCCACGUUUGGAGCUACGUGGCACAGAGAUGCUAUCUUACACAACAAGAAAAAAGGAGAACAAUACUAGAACUUUAAAAGCUUUAACGAGUAUCCAUUGGAGGGCAAGUCUGGUGCCAGCAGCCGCGGUAAUUCCAGCUCCAAAAGUAUAUAUUUAAGUUGUUGCGGUUAAAAAGCUCGUAGUUGGAUUUUGGGCGCAGGCGGCCGGUCCGUCGCAAGGCGUUACGGACGUCCUGGC